rnacentral:rRNA from 1 species
AUGGGGUUUGAUGAUUUGCCUUUUGAUUGUCUCAAUAACAGUGGCCCCGGGCCCCACCUGGUAGCCUUUGGAAGGGAGGGGCAUUAUCGGGCAAAAGAUCCAAUUUUCCCACACACAUGCACAUACAAGAGCCACAUUUUCCAAAUCCCAGUCGUCAGAGCUCGCUCCCUUCUUCCCCCAAAUCCCUCGCGCAGCCACACUCCCCUCCCUACUGACACAUUUGAGCUUGAGCUAGGGUUUCUCACCACCGGCGGCGGGAUGGGCAUCCUCGAGCACAGCCAAAAUUCCUCUCCGCGACGGCAUGGGCAUCAGGAAAUGACCUCACUGCCUAUCCCCGACGACCUCCUGCCUGAAAUCUUCCUCCGCCUGCCCACCCCGUGCGACCUCAUCCGAGCCUCCGCCGUCUGCGCCUCCUUCCGCCGCGUCGUCGUCGACCGCCCCUUCCUCCGGAGGUACCACAAGCUCCAUUCCCCGCCCCUCAUCGGCUUCCUCGAUUUUCGCCGAGUCUUCCACCCGGCCGAACCGCCUCACCCCUCCGCGUCUGCAGCCAAAGCCGUCGCCCUCGCCGCUGACUUCACCUUGUCCUUCCUCCCUACCCCAGCCGGUGACUGGACCAUUUCGGACAUCUGCGGCGGUCUUGUCCUCCUCAAGAGGCGCGACUGUGCGGAGCUGGUGGUGUGCGACCCCUUGCACCGGCGGCACCUCCUGCUUCCCCCAAUCCCUGAAUUCGACGAGUGGGUUCAUUCAGUGGACAAGCCACGCACGUUUGGGUGUCAGAUCCUCCUGGUGGGCGGUGACGAGGAGGCUUCAGAGGAGGCAUUUUUCAGAGUGAUAUAUGUGGAAUUCACCCUACAUGAGGAAGCCGUCUUCGUCUUCUCUUCCAGCACCGGAGAAUGGCGAGCUACUCCUUCGGCACCACGAUCGCCUUACUCAUGCUGGCUCCAGUAUGCAUAUGGCUGCUUGUAUGGGGUGACAGUUCUCACUCAUAGACCUCCCACCCGCAGCCAGAGCCAGCUCUUCUCAUGUGCAAGUUCCAGCCAGUGGAAGUUGAAGACAAUCUCACUGGAUUCUUCCCAGUACUCUUUCAAGGUGAGAUCGACGGGGAGGAACUUGUUCCUACAACAUUGCAGAAAUCCAUCACCUGAUGCCGGCCUUUUCUCAAUGGACAUCAACACAUUCCAGCUUGAGAGGGUGUUUGGUUCCAACUAUAGCAUGCUUUACCCUUGGGCAUAUAACAACUUUCCACUAUCAUUGUCGACUCCAGCAGUAUCAAGUGGUACUCAGCAAAAUGAUGAGAAGGAGAUGCUGGAACAAGGUGCGGAGGCGCUGCAGGCUGAAGAGCCCAUAGGUAGCCCCCAUGCCGAGAGAACUGAUGAUGAUGCGAAUGCUGGAGGUCAGGCCGGUGUAUCAAGGACUGGGGAUGAUGCUGAUUGA